AACGAACGCUGGCGGCAUGCCUAACACAUGCAAGUCGAACGAAACCUUCGGGUCUAGUGGCGCACGGUUGCGUAACGCGUGGGAACCUUCCCUUAGGUUCGGCAUACCUCCCCGAAAGGGGUGCUAAUACCGGAUAAUGUCUUCUGACCAAAGAUUUAUCGCCUUUGGAUGGUCCCGCGUUGGAUUAGCUAGUUGGUAGGGUAAAAGCCUACCAAGGCGACGAUCCAUAGCUGGUAUGAGAGGAUGAUCAGCAACACUGGGACUGAGACCCGGCCCAGAAUCCUACGGGAGGCAGGAGUGGGGAAUAGUGGAAAAUGGGCGAAAGGCUGAAGCAGCAAUGAUGGGUGAGUGAUGAAGGUAUGAGGGUUGUAAAGCGUUUUUAACCGGGAUGAUAAUGACAGUACCGGGAGAAUAAGCCACGGCUAACUCCGUG
rnacentral:rRNA from 1 species